rnacentral:rRNA from 1 species
UUAAAUUGAAGAGUUUGAUCAUGGCUCAGAUUGAACGCUGGCGGCAGGCCUAACACAUGCAAGUCGAGCGGCAGCGGGA